AGCGAACGCUGGCGGCAGGCCUAACACAUGCAAGUCGAACGAACCCUUCGGGGUUAGUGGCGGACGGGUGAGUAACACGUGGGAACGUGCCUUUAGGUUCGGAAUAACUCAGGGAAACUUGUGCUAAUACCGAAUGUGCCCUUCGGGGGACAGAUUUAUCGCCUUUAGAGCGGCCCGCGUCUGAUUAGCUAGUUGGUGUGGUAAUGGCUCACCAAGGCUACGAUCAGUAGCUGGUCUGAGAGGAUGACCAGCCACAUUGGGACUGAGACACGGCCCAAACUCCUACGGGAGGCAGCAGUGGGGAAUCUUGCGCAAUGGGCGAAAGCCUGACGCAGCCAUGCCGCGUGGAUGAUGAAGGUCUUAGGAUUGUAAAAUCCUUUCACCGGUGAAGAUAAUGACUGUAGCCGGAGAAGAAGCCCCGGCUAACUUCGUGCCAGCAGCCGCUGUAACAC
rnacentral:rRNA from 1 species